CAUGUAUGAGAGUUCCACUACUAAUGUAAUACAAGAUAAAUCCGAAUUAGAUUUAUAUCUAGAAGUGCCAAUGAUUAAAGAUUCGAUCAAGCAUUAUGAUGUAUUGGCCUUUUGGAAGACACAAGGAGCAAAGUAUCGUGAUCUUUCUCUGAUGGUACGGGAUGUGUUGGCUAUUCUAGUAUCAAUUUUUGCUUCUGAAUCCGCUUUUAGCGUUGGAGGUAGAGUUAUUGACAAAUAUAGAAGUAAGCUAUUGCCUACAAAUGCUGAAGCGUUGAUUUGCCUUCGAGAUUAGAUGUUCGGAGUAGACUUUAGAGCUGAACCGGUUGAUGAUGCCAGUGAUUUGGCUAAUGCUUUGGGAGAUGUGUUGUCUUUGGAUAUGAGUGGUGAUACUAAUAUUACAGCAGAGCCUACACAAAGAUCUUCUAAUGCCUCUACUGCAACUAAUGUUUAGUCUGUUAGGUGAAAUUCCACGGGUAAUAUCAUUCUUGUUCUUUGAUUAUGACAUAUUCUCUAUCUUUUAUCUUUACAUUUACUAAUGUUUAUGCUUCAUCUAUUUUCUAUUAAGUGGGAUUGAUGUUGAAGCACUCAAUGUUGGAUGAAAUCAGGAUAUUUUUGGGUCAUGUAUCUAAAUAUUUAACUUUGGGGAUGUUUGGAUACGAAUUUAAGAUUUUUUGUGAUAUUUCUAAAUAU